GGGACUUUCUUGUCUCUGUUGCGGUGUCCUCAGUCCUCUGUUCACUUGGAUUUCCAAAAGCAGGCAUAGAGAAAUCCGCCAAAAUCCCCAAACUAGCUAGUUUUAUUCCUUUGCCAUUAGAAUUUUAUCCACUCUCCUCUGCAUAUUUGUACUUCCAAACAAGCCUAAUCAAAUCAUGAUGUAGCAUUGGAUUGACAAUCAAAUUUUUUUAAUUGAAGAAGUAAAUCAGACGUUGGC
rnacentral:misc_RNA from 1 species